CGCCUCCUGCAAAAACCAAUGUAUAGGAGGUCUUGCCUGCCCAGUGACAAGUUAAACGGCCGCGGUAUUUUGACCGUGCGAAGGUAGCGCAAUCACUUGUCUUUUAAAUGAAGACCUGUAUGAAUGGUGGAACGAGGGCUUAACUGUCUCCCCUUUCAAGUCAAUGAAAUUGAUCUGCCCGUGCAGAAGCGGACAUACAAAUACAAGACGAGAAGACCCUUUGGAGCUUAAGAUACAAGAUCAACUAUGUCAAGAACCCCAAAAUUAAGUUAAACUAAAUAGCCAAUUGAUCCCUAUCUUCGGUUGGGGCGACCGCGGGAGAAAAUAAAGCUCCCAUGCGGACUGGGGUUAAACCCUAAAACCAAGAGAGACAUCUCUAAGUCACAGAACAUCUGACCACAAAGAUCCGGCCUGACCCGCCGAUCAACGGACCAAGUUACCCUAGGGAUAACAGCGCAAUCCCCUUUCAGAGUCCAUAUCGACAAGGGGGUUUACGACCUCGAUGUUGGAUCAGGACAUCCUAAUGGUGCAGCCGCUAUUAAGGGUUCGUUUGUUCAACGAUUAAAGUCCU
rnacentral:rRNA from 1 species